rnacentral:rRNA from 1 species
AUUGAACGCUGGCGGCAUGCCUUACACAUGCAAGUCGAACGGCAGCACGGGUGCUUGCACCUGGUGCGGAGUGGCGGAACGGGGUGAGUAAUACAUCGGAAUGUACCUUGUAGUGGGGGAUAGCUCGGCGAAAGCCGGAUUAAUACCGCAUACGCUCUGAGGAGGAAAGCGGGGGACCUUCGGGCCUCGUGCUACAAGAGCAGCCGAUGUCAGAUUAGCUUGUUGGUGAGGUAAAAGCUCACCAAGGCGACGAUCUGUAGCUGGUCUGAGAGGACGACCAGCCACACUGGGACUGAGACACGGCCCAGACUCCUACGGGAGGCAGCAGUGGGGAAUUUUGGACAAUGGGCGAAAGCCUGAUCCAGCAAUGCCG